rnacentral:rRNA from 1 species
UACGUAGGGGGCAAGCGUUGUCCGGAUUUACUGGGCGUAAAGAGCGCGUAGGCGGAAGCUUAAGUGUGGCCUGAAAGCCCCCGGCUCAACCGGGGAAGGUGGCUGCAAACUGGGCUUCUUGAGGGGGAUAGGGGAAAGUGGAAUUCCGGGUGUAGCGGUGAAAUGCGCAGAUAUCAGGAGGAACACCGGUGGCGAAGGCAGCCCCCUGGGUCGACACUGACGCUCAUGGCACGGAAAGCGUGGGGAGCAAACAGG